AUUGAACGCUAGCGGGAUGCUUUACACAUGCAAGUCGAACGAGUGGCGGACUGAUGAGUAAUGUAUGUGGACUGCUCGAUCGAUGGGGAUAACUACUAGAAACGGUAGAUAAUAACGCAUACGAUCGGAUAACCCAUAUGGUAUUAGAUAGUAGGUGAGGUAAUGGCUCACAUAGGCGACGAUCCCUAGCUGGUCUAGUAGGAUGAUCAGCCACACUGGGACUGAGACACGGCCCAGACUCCUACGGAGGCAGCAGUGGGGAAUAUUGCACAAUGGGCGCAAGCCUGAUGCAGCCAUGCCGCGUGUAUGAAGAAGGCCCUAGGGUUGUAAAGUACUUUCAGUCGGGAGGCGUUACCGACAGAAGAAGCACCGGCUAACUCCGUGCCAGCAGUCGCGGUAAUUC
rnacentral:rRNA from 1 species